AAAAAAGAAUGAAAAGAUUCAGCCAUGAUGUGCUGGAAACUAUCUUUAAAGGAGAUACAGCAAUGACCUAAUUAAGAAGCACAAGGCUGGACAUAACCAAAGAAUAAGUGAGAGAUUUAUCAGCCCAUAAACUGUGUAGGUGUGCAAACAUGGUAAAGGAAGGCUAUUUUAUGUUUUGGAAGAAGCAUAAUUUGUUCCUUCGUGGAGUCUCUCUAAGACACUUUAUGUUCUCCACUUGCUUCCUUCUCACACCUUCAAAAGCAGUUCAUCUUGCAGAGGAGACCUGGCAAUGGAUUCUCCAAAGUUCAUCAAUGAUGCUCCUGUAUCAGCUGAAGAUAUUUCUAGUGUGACACAAUGGAAUUACUGCUUCCUUCAUGAAGAGUUAAGUGAACUAUUCUUGUAGCACUUCUAGUCCUUGCUGACCUGGGACCAAAGGUAUCAAAUUUGGGUCCCCAUGUGGCAGCGCUGUGCACUGCCACACGAUUUCUGGCCAAAGAAGCACAAUUGUAAAAGUUAGUCAUUAUUUUCAACAAGAUAUUUCAUAUUCUAUCUUCUCUCAUGCAGGAUUUUAUAUAGCACAGCUACUUUUGAUUUCUCAAACGUAAAUAUUUAAUUGUGUUUCAAUUUGUUAAAAAAAUGCUCAUGUCUACUUAAGGGUCUAGCGCUACAAACACAUGCAAUUUAUAGCUGAAGUAUGGUAUAAUUUUAAAGUUUGGUUUAAAUCAUUUUAAGUUUAAAUUGUUACCAGACUUAAAGUGCGAUUUCAAGCAGUUGCAGAGAUGCUAGAAUUUUAAAUAGCUUUUUUCAACAUUUUCUGUUUAGCUAAAUUAUUCCAUAAAGAAUUGCUAAAUUGAUAAUUUAUAAUCAAAUUUAAAUUAUAUUUCAGCUGCAUUCAUAUUUAAUAUAGUCUUGUCAAAUCUCAUGCCUCAUUUUCUAACUAAGCAAUGUUCUAUCUGCAUAGGAAAUAAAAAUUUCCACCAUAAUUAGUAAAGAUUUUAUUAUUAUUAUUAUUAUACAUUGUAAAAAUUCUCAUAAAACUAUAGUGUUACUUGACUCCAAAUAAAACAGCACAUUGGACCACCUCUGUAUGUCAGACAUGGGAAGACAAACCACAGGAAAGGGAAAAAGAGGUAGAGGAGGAUCAUUUUUUCUAUGCAGCUGCUACACUUAAUUUGAUUGUUAUAUUUUAAAAAAUUACCAUUUAUGAAUAUUAACAAUUGUUUUAUUGAUUAAAGUUCAAAUAUUUUAAUAAAUAUGAACUACAGUUCAUAUUUAUUGUGCAGCAAAUUACAGGCACUGAAUUAUUUGGGCUACAACUUAUUCCUUGAGCAAAAUGACACACAAAACAUAGCAUAAAUAAAAAGCAAAAGAUACUGAAAUCUCUCUAAUAGGUUGUUGUUUUUUGUUUUUGCUAGUAUUGUAUACGUGCAAGAGGAAAAAAAUAGGCAUUUUUGUGUGGGUGAUGCAUCUGAAAACAAAAGUACAAACCAUCUUACAAACACAGUCAUGGAAAAGAAGCACAGAUGGCAAUUCACCUGCACCAUACCUUUGACUUCAUGAAGUGAAGCGUUGUUAUUGCUAUUACUAGUGGAUGUUCUGCCACUAUCAAGGCUGGCUGGUCUGGAAGCUAAAUGAAAAAUACAUCAUCAGGGCCCUCCAGAUGCUCAGAACUACCUGUCCAUUGUCCUCCUGCUAGGACCAUGGACUGCACCAGGUCAUUCAUGGC